UCCUCCGAAUGUUUUACCCUCCUCACUCUCUUAUCCCAAAUCUCCCUCUCUCUUUGUCGAGAUCUGCCGCCUCCUUCCCUUUUUUCUUUACAAACAGUUUCAGAAUCACCUUCACCAAUCGUUAAACUUCUACUAAUCCAUUGUGAUCCAACAAACAAAAGAGGGUAUUCAUGGAAAACAUCUUCCACUUUUGAGUAAUAAAAAGAGAGAAAGAAAAUGUGGAUUUGGGAUUUUUUUUUUGCAAAUUUCAUGUACAAUUUGUAUUGAAACCCUUUAAUAAUUUCUGUGUUAAUUAGCUCAAUCGAUUUAAUUAUUAUUUUCUUUUUGUUAUAUGUUCGAUUUUGAUUUUUGGAUUUUUAAUAUGAAAUUUAUUCUGUUGAUCACUAAACCUAGUUCUAUCUAAUGAUUUCAUAGUGAUUGUGAUCUGGCACUUGUGGUGGUGUUGAUUCUAAUUGCGAAGGUUGUGGUGAUAAUGGUAGUUGUUUAAUUUUGAUUGGUUUUGGUGGAUAGUUUUCCUAGCUUAGUUCAAUUGAGGGUAAUUUUUGGGUUAAUUCAUGGUGUAAAUUUAUUACAUGAUUUAUUGGAUCUCGUUUGUGAUAUUUAAGUUCUUUAGCUGUGAUAUUACAUGAUGAUGCAGUAAGAAAUGUUUGAAGAAAUUAAAAUAAUUUGUUAUUGUUGUUUUUCAGAAAUCCUUAACAUACUUUGUUUUUCAUUAUUGUAUUGUCAGUUUCAAUUUAAAACUUUGAUUAGGUAUUUCUAUUUUAGUUUAAGUUUUCAAGUUCAAUAUGUCAAAAUUAAGUUUUCUGUUUUCUUUGAUUUUAGUGGGUGAACUAUUUGAUAAGUUGUCUCAGUGAACAUAACGUUGUUUGUCUAAACUUUCGUAAGUUUAAUUGGGUAGCUACCAUUCUAUUCAAUCGAAAUUAUUUAUGUUAGAUUAUGGUACAUCCACAUGAUGCUUCAGUCAUACUUAUAGACAUGUUACCAAGAUGCUGGUGUGAUUGCUGGAUUAAAUAUAACAAGAAUCAUCAAUGUACCAACUGUCACACUAUAGCUUAUGGUUUCCUUGACUAUAACGAGUGUUGAGUCUGUUGACAUGGUAAGGGAAUAAAAACCACACAUAAAGAGAAAUUGGCUUUCGUGAAUGUUAAUAUGCAUUUGACCUUACCCACCGUUUUUUUAGUGUAAAAAAUCUAGGACUCUCCAUUUGUCAUUUACUCCCCGCUUCUUAAAGGAUGAUGCUUUGUGAUGAUACUUUGAUGAAUAUUUUGAUGAAAACGAAUUUAAUAGUUUAGUGAUGCACCUUUUUUUUCUCUUGCAGGUAAGCCCUUUUGUACCAUGACAUUUCUCAAUGUCAACUCCCAUACCACAUUUUGUUUGUUUCUGACGCACUAAAUUGGUGUUUGAUUCUGUUAGAUAUCUGCCUGUGAUUUCCAUUUGAACAAUUUCCAUACGCUCACUCAUCAAGAGAACUGAUGGGGAUAGAUAGACACCUCUGUGCCACACUUUAUGUGAAACUAUUAAUGCUAACUGAACUGGAUUAGUCUUCAUGCAUUUAAUAUACAUUUCAGAGUGAUUAUAUAUAUGACUACUAACCCAAGUUCAGUCAGCCCACUUCUGCGAUAAUCACUUCAUUAGUUGGUCAGGAGUUGUGGAUGCACACAUGAAGGAUGGUGUGAGACUUCUGAACCUCAACGUGGUAAUGUGAUUGGAGUCCAGUCCAUUACCAAGAGGCAACCCACAAGUUCUGGAACAAUAAGGUAACCUGCAUUAUGUGCUGGUCAUUGCUACCUUCCAUUUAAGGAAUUACAUUUUGCCAAGGUAUUGCAGCCGCCACUGCCACCAUCAGCACCGUCCCUGUCAGAACAAUGAGCUAUUGCAGCGAGACAGCGAAGAGGGAGCUCCACCACCCUCUGAGGAUAAAGCGAAAACGACGACGUGCUACAACCAAUGCUGAUUAUAACAGCAAAGAACUUCAAGCAAUGAUACAAGUGGAGGCUUAUAUAAUUCAAGCGCAGGCUAACCAAAUAUGCGCACAAAAUGAGAUCAUCAAAAAGCUGCAAGAAGAUGAUGAAAAGUUCACACAAAAAAUGCAGAAACGGAUGCUUACACUCGGGCUAAAUAACAGUACCGCUGAUGGAUCAACUGAUGUUUUAGUCUUGGUAUUAUCUUUUUAUUUAUUUACUUGUCACAUUAAUGUUGGAUCAACAAUGUUUUUUUAUUUAUUCGUAGAGUUUAUUUAUCGGGUAUUUUUUAGUUUGGAUAUUGUUUCAACAACUUAUUUUAAUGGCUAAUUAUUUUUUAUUCAA